rnacentral:rRNA from 1 species
UACGUAGGUGACAAGCGUUGUCCGGAUUUACUGGGCGUAAAGAGCGCGCAGGCGGUCGAUCAAGUCGAGUGUGAAAGCCCCCGGCUCAACUGGGGAGGGUCAUUCGAUACUGAUCGACUCGAAGGCAGGAGAGGGUAGUGGAAUUCCCGGUGUAGUGGUGAAAUUCGUAGAUAUUCGGAAGAACACCAGUGGCGAAGGCGGCUCACUGGACUGGUAUUGACGCUGAGGUGCGAAAGCGUGGGGAGCAAACAGG